rnacentral:rRNA from 1 species
GAUGAACGCUGGCGGCGUGCCUAAUACAUGCAAGUCGAACGAAACUUCUUUAGCACCGAGUGCGUGCACUCACCGAUAAAGAGUUGAGUGGCGAACGGGUGAGUAACACGUGAGCAACCUGCCCAAAAGAGGGGGAUAACACUUGGAAACAGGUGCUAAUACCGCAUAACAAUAGUUACCGCAUGGUAACUCUGUGAAAUGUGACUAGAGUACCCCUUUUGGAUGAGCCGGUGGCGCAAUAGCUAGUUGGUAGGGGCAAGGCUUACCAAGGCAAGGAUGCGUAGCGGAAUUGAGAGGUGGAUAGGACACAUUGGGAGUGAGAAACGGCACAAACUCCUACGGGAGGCAGCAGUAGGGAAUCUUCCACAAUGGGCGAAAGCCUGAUGGAGAAAAGCCGCGUGGGUGAAGAAGGUCUUCGGCUCGUAAAACCAUGUUGUUAGAGAAGAAAGUGAGUGAGAGUAACUGUUCACGUUUUGACGGUACCUAACGAGAAAGCAACGGCUAACUACGUG